GCCUCCUUAGCUCAGUGGGUAGAGCACUCGCCUUGUAAGCGAGCGUCGUCAGUUCAAUCCUGACAGGGGGCU
rnacentral:tRNA from 1 species